UACGUAGGGUGCGAGCGUUAAUCGGAAUUACUGGGCGUAAAGCGUGCGCAGGCGGUUUUGUAAGCCAGAUGUGAAAUCCCCGGGCUUAACCUGGGAAUGGCAUUUGGGACUGCAAGGCUUGAGUGCGGCAGAGGAGACUGGAAUUCCUGGUGUAGCAGUGAAAUGCGUAGAUAUCAGGAGGAACACCGAUGGCGAAGGCAGGUCUCUGGGCUGACACUGACGCUGAGACGCGAAAGCGUGGGGAGCAAACAGG
rnacentral:rRNA from 1 species